ACCUGUUUUAUGCAUAAGCUGCUUGUAAAAAAAUUAAAAAUAAUAGUGUCCGAAACCUGUUUACCUGAUUUAAUAUAACCCAAGUAAGAAAUGUUACAAGGCAGCCCACUGCGAUGCGUUUAUCUGAUGCUAAUAGAAAUAGCUAAAAGUUGUUGUCAGUUAGGGGGCAGUGUUCUAAGAUGCCCGGUACAAAUGAUGUCGGGUGUCACUAUUUGGUGGAGCGAACGUGGACCAACACUUUUGUUGAUUUGGGAUUAAUUCAAUUAUUAUCACGGCGUUACCAACCAACCCCACAAGAAUAAUCACCCCGAAGACGAAACCAACCGUCGCCCGGGCACCGACCGUCCAAAGCCCGCCUGCCAUCUCGUUUGGACCUGAUGUACUGUCGUGGUUGUAAGAAACGGUGCUCAUAAUUUGUAGGCGAUAAAGACGUCAACGAGACAGUAUUAUAAACCAGUUACUGCUUUAACAUAAUAAAAUUGUAAACAAAACCUGAAAAGUUACAGCUGUUUAUAGUUCUGUAUUUAAUUCCCUAUUCAUGUUACAGUUAUACGUUUUAGUGACUACCGGUUCGCGUCCUUUUCUGUCAAUUUCAUUAAUGAGACAAUGUUUAUACAUGGUCCAUAGAAAAAAAAUGCAAAUUAUUCGAAGCUUUUACUCGUUUUUAAUCAGUUACUUAAAUCGAACUUAAUGUACACUCCUUGGUUUAUUCCACAAUUAAUAAAACCUGUCAAAUUGUA